AGCUGAAAUCUUUUCAUCAACUUGAUCCCGUUAUGCAUAUUUAAUUAUUUUUCACUCUUGAUAACUUGAAUGAUAAAUAUGUUUAAAAAUCGUACAUAUUUAUAUAUUAAUGAGUUUGAUAUCAUUUGAUACCGAUUUAUUUUGCAAUUAACAAUACCUUUAAUACUCAUAAAAAUGUAAAAUCCGUUAUCAGAAAAGUUGUUUGUGACAGUUUUGGUUGUAAUUUGGACAGUGGUCAAAAUGAGGAGCAAAAUAAGAAACUUUAAACAUCGACAAAUGAUUGAAGGAGUUGUCUUUAUAAUCAGCGUUAUUGUGAAAAAUAAACGACAACGACAUCGAGAGAUUAUAUUGGUGCAGUAACCUUUUAAAAUACUUCAAAGAUCUUGUCUAUUUUACACUAAGCUAUUGACGUUUUUCCUGUUUACAAGUAUUUUGUUUUGCCUAAAAUGCUUAUUACAUAAUUGUCCCGUGAUAAAAUUUUUAGAGUUUAUAUGUUUAUAUUUUCCUCUUUCUUCUAACGUUAGCUGAGCAUCAUGGCUACCAAAAAGGUUCUUUUCAUUAUGAUUAUAGUCGCAAUAUGUGUGAAUCUCUACCAAGUUGAAGGGACUGUGGAAAAUGUACGAUCCCAGUCCAAAGGUAUACAAUCCGGACGGAUUUCUGUCAGUAGAAGACGUGGGGGCAUCAUAAACACGGGCCCGCGUCCAAGGACAAGGCCCGGGAGAAGACAGGGCUAGGAGUACACUGACCUUGCCAGCUUAAUUCCACGACGUAUAAAGCCGAAAUGUACCACAAUAAAGAAACAAAACCUUUAUUCCACAGAGAAGAUUUAACUAAUUUAUACAUUUGGAACAUAAUCAUACGAAAAUUACGAAAAUUAUUGUCAUCACCUCAAUAAAAGCUUUUUAAUAAAG